rnacentral:misc_RNA from 1 species
AAUUAUCAACCUUUCAAGCUUAAACAAGCUUGGUCAGGCUUGGAUCUUGGGGGUGUGCUGGUUCUAGCGAAUCGGCUCUCUUUAAAUGCAUUAGCAAGAUCAGUCACUGAAUUGUCUUUGAUAUGAUAAUUAUCUAUAUCACUGAUGAAGUAGUGUUUUUCCUCAGCGGAAAGGAUCUGGCUUUCUAAUCGUCGUUAAAGACAAUUAAAUGAAUC